AACGCGAAGAACCUUACCUACUCUUGACAUCCAGAGAACUUUCCAGAGAUGGAUUGGUGCCUUCGGGAACUCUGAGACAGGUGCUGCAUGGCUGUCGUCAGCUCGUGUUGUGAAAUGUUGGGUUAAGUCCCGCAACGAGCGCAACCCUUGUCAUUAGUUGCUACGAAAGGGCACUCUAAUGAGACUGCCGGUGACAAACCGGAGGAAGGUGGGGAUGACGUCAAGUCCUCAUGGCCCUUAUGGGUAGGGCUUCACACGUCAUACAAUGGUCGGGACAGAGGGUCGCCAACCCGCGAGGGGGAGCCAAUCCCAGAAACCCGAUCGUAGUCCGGAUCGCAGUCUGCAACUCGACUGCGUGAAGUCGGAAUCGCUAGUAAUCGCGGAUCAGCAUGUCGCGGUGAAUACGUUCCCGGGCCUUGUACACACCG
rnacentral:rRNA from 1 species